GGCGCUAUAGCCAAGUGGUUACGGCGACAGAUUAGAAUGCUUGUUAUUAUCUGUUCCUCUUUGAGGGCGCAGGUUCAAAUCCUGCUGGCGUCG